rnacentral:rRNA from 1 species
CGUUAAUCGGAAUUACUGGGCGUAAAGCGUGCGUAGACGGUUAUUUAAGUCGGAUGUGAAAGCCCCGGGCUCAACCUGGGAAUUGCAUUCGAGACUGAAUAGCUAGGGUACGGUAGAGGGAAGUGGAAUUUCCGGUGUAGCGGUGAAAUGCGUAGAUAUCGGAAGGAACAUCAGUGGCGAAAGCGACUUCCUGGACCAGUACCGACGUUCAGGCACGAAAGCGUGGGGAGCAAACAGG